rnacentral:rRNA from 1 species
UACAGAGGUCUCAAGCGUUGUUCGGAUUCAUUGGGCGUAAAGGGUGCGUAGGCGGCGCGGUAAGUCGGGUGUGAAAUUUCGGAGCUUAACUCCGAAACUGCAUUCGAUACUGCCGUGCUUGAGGACUGGAGAGGAGACUGGAAUUUACGGUGUAGCAGUGAAAUGCGUAGAGAUCGUAAGGAAGACCAGUGGCGAAGGCGGGUCUCUGGACAGUUCCUGACGCUGGGGCGCGAAGGCCAGGGGAGCAAACGGG